AAUUUAGCUAUAACACUUCUUGGCGGAGCUUCUCGGGGUACGCAUGGCAUGGUAUGGCGCCUGUUUGCUGGACUAUAACAACAGCAGAAGGAAAAGUCCAGUCUUUGUAAACUGGCCAUUGAAUUUUAUCAAAUCGUGACAGCUGCAUAAGCAUAAACAUCAGUGGAGCAGACCUUAAACUGCCACAUAAUUCGUCGUUCGGGGAUCUACUGGUGUCUGCAGCCAAGGCCACAUGGAUCCUUGGGAGGGCAUGCCAGGAUAAGAGGCUGUAGUGGAGGAUUAAACUACGGAGAGAACAGAUUUCAUAGCAGCAAAAACUGUUGAGUUGAGACUGACUCCGUCCGGAGGUUGAAAUCUAUCAAGAUGAUUGAGGGAAUCAUUAAUGAGUGGCUUGCUGACUGCGCCGAACUCUCGACACUGGAACUCGCCACUUUUGCCAACACUUUGUCCCAGGAUGAUGAGAUUGUACAAGCUCUGUACUUAUUACUGGAAGAACGUAGUAAAUACAGCCAGCUGGUGGAAACUGUGUGCAAUCAACUGUUUAAUUUCUACAGAUCAAGAGAAACACAGCUGCAGCGGUUUAGUCUACAAUUUUUACCUACGUUAAUUUAUAUUUAUUUGAACUCUGUUGCUCAUGGAGAUAUUAAGAACUGUCGUACUGUAGAAACUCUACUUGUUGGAGUUUAUAAUUUAGAACUAGUAGAUAAAAAUGGAGAACCAAAGGCAGUAUCUUUUCGUUUACCUUCCCUUGCAAUGAUGUCAAUUUAUCAUGAGCCCUCCAGUUUAGCACCAGCAUCGCUUACAGAAAGUGCAGUACGGCGUUUUGAGGAAUGCAAUACUAAACUUGUUAGUUGGGGACCUUUGAAGCAUAUCGAAACUUUGAAUGCUCAAAACAGGUUAAAAGUUAUGACUGCUUUGCUCUUUGUAUUCAAUCAACAGCUGGGAUUUUUUAAGAAAUCUGCUCUGGAGCAGCUUUGUAAAGUAGCUUCAAAACUUGUUACUCAAGGAUUCAUGAAGCCAGGUCAUCAUCAACGUACUUCUUAUGGCAGUGAAUCUAGUUUUGUUCCUAGACUCUUACCUCGUAUACCAGUGUCCAGUCAGUUUCUUCUUGAAUUUCUACACGCAAUCUACUUUUCUAUGUACAAUAAUUGUUGGUACGUUGCAAGUCAAGCUGUUGAAGAUGUACACAAUCGUGCAUGUUAUGAAACAUAUCCUGAAGUUAUGCUAGCCACAAAUGCUAUUCGAAAUUCUAGUAGUUCAGGUCCAACAUCAGCACAAUCUGCUGAUGGAUCUAUAGGUAUCAGUGUUACAUCUUCAAAUACAACAGCAACUAUAUUGAAAUCCAUGAUUACAAAUGCCUCAUUUCGUACUAAAAAAUUGCCAGACGACCUCGACGAGAUGUUAUUUGAAACUGGCGAGACAAAGAGCGACCACAUUGUGGAUGGUCAGUCCACAUCCUCGGCUCAACGUACUCCAGUACACAGUAGUACUCGCCGUCGCGCCUGGCUUUGGAAAAAUCCGCUGCACAACUCGUUCGACGACACAGAUAUCGCCAUCGCAGAUCGUCAUCAGCUCCCAGGAAUCGUCGCACCACCUCCAUCGACGGAGAACUCGAGGCGCGAGAGCCUAUGUAGCAGCCAAAGUUCACCCAAUCGUUCCUCACCCAAGAGGAACCGCGGCGAGCCCAAAAGUAAAAAGGAUAUUAGCCAGGGCAAAGGCAAGAAAGAUUUAUCAAAGGACUCCACUAAAGAGAGUAGCGGCCAAACAUCAGACAGCAGGGGCAGCACUGCUCAGAGACUCUAUCGCGUCUUAGAAGAGCAAGCUCUCGGAGAAGCCGUCGGCAGAUUGAGCGGCGGAAGUUCAAGGAAUAAGCCCCAGAACCAGCCGAUGAAUCUCUGCGCACCUGGCGAUGUUUCACCAAACAACCGAUACUCGUACUAGCAUUCUCUGCCACUUCGUUCAAAGUAGAUUCAAUAUAAGUAGAUGAAAGAAGAAUUAUUGGCCUAGUUUUUAGGGGAGGACGCGAUGCGAGAUGAUAUUCCAAUUCAACAAGAACAUCAACAGCAACAACCAAAUGAGAAAAGUAAUAAAAUGGAAAAAAGUGCAAAAACAGAAUGAGGCUAAAUGAUUUUCAUGUCUUAGAUGACUGCUCUAAACACAUAAUAAUACAAAACAUUAACUUUUUAAAUGUCAACUUCUUGAUUAUGAAGAAUUUCGUACGUAACGCAUAAAACGUGAAAUUAAUCCUCCAUUAAGUGCUCAAAGCCCACUUAAAACUUUUCUAGUUUCGCAUUUAGCGCUUCGUAAUGUAUCACAAUUUUUCAUUAAUACACAAAUAAUCAUUAUUCGCCGGGCUUCUCAUCAAACACGUAAAUUUAGAUUCAUUUGAUCAACUAAACAAAUUUUCUAUAGGAGUGACUAUACAAUGAUUUUCAGAAUACUGUAAGGUUUUUAUGUUUAUUGAUUGAUCUUUAAUAUUAAGAGUUUACAAACAAAAAAUAUCACGGGUAGAAUAUGAGUAAGUGUUGACCAAUAUUAAGAAAAUGAUAAUAAUUUUUCGAAUUCAUUAUUGAAGAUAAUUCUUAAAGCUUAUUACUAACAAUAUAUUGUCAUUUCUUGAUCUUUUCAAAUACUCAAUGUACUCUGUAUUAAAAUGAAUUGUGUUAGUUUGCACUUUUGAAAGAAAGCCCAGUGAUAACUUUAUUCAUCCAGCUAGACUGCAAAUUAGGUUAUCAUUAAUUGUGGUGCAACUAAUAGCAACGAAUGCAAUACAUAAGAUAAUGCGUUAUCAUUUUGCUUAUUAAAGUAUUUCUUUUAAUUUUCAGAAAAAAAGUAUUUUCGAAACGCGAAAAAUGUCUCAAUUACGAUUUAGAAUAUUUGAUUUUGCCUUCUAGAAAGUAAAUGUGCAGUUAUAGAUUUUUACGAUGAUAUUGUAAAAAACGAAUCAAGGCCUACAAAAUUGGGAUUUCCAAGUUAUAUGUACUCUUGUUUUUAUUCAUUUGUCUAAAAAUGAAAUCGUCUAAAACGUACAAUAAAAAUAUAUACGUUGUUGCGUGGAAACCCCAAUUUUCAUUCUGUAAAUUUGCAAAAAAUGUGUCCUCUGUGAUAAUGUUCGUUUGAAUUUUGGUGUACAAUGUAUUAUCACUUGAUUUUGCGGCCGUUGGUGCUUCCAUCUAAUUCACUUCGUUUGUUGUUUAGCACUUAAAAUGAUCGGCUGCCCUUUAUAUACAACUAUAUUUAGAAAUGCGAUCUCCUAGUAUCUAUCUGUACUAAUAAUAAUUAUGAAAUAAGUCUUAGGUAAACUAUAGUUGUAGAAAUAGAUUGUUCUUUGACAAGGCGAUUUGUUUUUCCCAUUGAAUGCUCGAAGGACAAAUGAAUUUAAUGUAUGAUAAGUUUUAUCUCUUUACAUGUUUGGAAAAAUGAUGUGUUUGAGUAAUAUAGCAGCAGGGCCGGUUAUCAAAACUAGAAAGGAAAUAAGGUUUUCUAGUUUAGUAAUAGAUUUUUUUCUGCCGUUUUAAUCAAAUAACUUUUUUUCGUGAUCGACUAUGAAUCGAAAACAUAAUUAUAGAAUUUUAAUAUUUUUUUUAAUAUUUAAAUCAUACAAAAAAAGAUAUUACUAUUUAUAACGAGAAAGGCUGAUGAUCCAUUUAUUUCUAUUUUUUGACCACAAGAUAUACGCAGAACUACCAACACUCUCAACCAUAUGUGUGCUAAAAAAACAAAAGUCAUUUUUACAUCGUCUAGGCACUAGCAGAACUGGUCCACAUUUGUAUGUAAAUGUGUACUCUAGUGUACAUAUGCACCGAGUUAUUGUAUACAGUCGUAGCGUUUUAAUGACGUUCUCAAUUAUAGUCUCAUUUCUCCAUCGACGGAUGAGAGCGGUGUCACAUAUUUAUACAUGUAGCACACCAUAGCAUCACGUAGACUCUCAGUCUCCUUUUCUACCCGUUAACAACACAAAAAACUUUCUCAAAACUAAUAAAAAUUUUUAAAGAAUCAAGCUAAACAAACGAGCGUGUAAAACGAUUAUGACACACGAUAAUUAGAUUAGUUCGUUUACACUUCCACCAAAACGGAUUAUUGCAUUCCAUCCGAUGGGAGAGAUGACAAGUGGCGAUGUUUAGGGUGGAGACGGUUGAACGAAACGAAACACGUGUUCUUAUAUUGUAUUUUCCGCGUGGGAGGUCUCGAGUCGACGAACAUAUACAUAAUUUUAUAUACAUAGUACGCGAGGUGUCUUUUGCGUGCGCGCGUCCACGCCUUGUUUCGCGAACGGCUGUUACGUGUAUAAGCGUUCGCUUUUAUUACUCGUAUGAUAUGCAUUGAAGGUAAAUGAACGAUGACGAUAUGGUACACAAGUUAAAAUAUAAUGAGCUUACGAGAGAAUGAUAAUAAGUGGCGGUGGUAGUGCUAAACUUUAUCGUAGACGCUCGCGUUUUAAUUUUACGCUUGCGGUUUCGUUCGACGCGUUUCCUCAUAUAAUUAUGUGUCAUCGAGUCGUGUGUAUCAAUUGAUACCUCGACAAAGAUUAUUAUAUCAUUUUGUUCAAGUAUAAUAAAUAGUAUUAUGUUGCGUUUAAAUUACACCCCUGGCGGAUGAUGCAAAUUUAUAAUGUAUAUUCAGCCGAACGUUUGCGGUAAAAGUUUUUACAUCAGUUUCAAGCUGUUCAUUUGAAUAUCUAUAGCUUUAAUAUUAUAUAUUGAUUUGUUGAACUGAAAACUUUUUUCUAUACGUUUGUCCCGAGUCCAAUCGAUGUUCGAUACACGAAGCAUUAUUAUUAUAUAUGUGUCUAAACUUAUCUCUGAAAACUUUUACCCUGCAAUGUUGAACGAUGUAUUUUUCAACUUUAAAACUUACGAUCGCAUUCUGAAAUUUUACUUUUUGCUAAAUAUCAGAUAACGAACAACUAUAAAGAAAUUAAACGUAUUAAAAUGAUACGAUAACGUGUGUUAUGCAGACCAAUAUAUAUAUAUAUAUAUACAUAUUAUAAUCGUUAAUUUUCUCUUGUGUGUUGCGCUUAUAAAAAAAUCGAUGAACCUGUUAUAAUGUCCACUAAAGAUACCUAUACCUGAUUAAAGAUAUCAGCAUCGCUGUAACGGAGAUUGUUGUAAAUUAAAAACGUUAUUAUUAAUAAUACAGAUGUUAUUAAUCAACAAUGUGAACAUGAAUUUACUAUCCAUACAAAAAACUAUGAUAGGUCUGACUUAUUUUACGUUGCAUACUCAUAUUAUAUGAAAUGCAGUCUAACCUUUUAUUUUCAUAAACAAGAAAAAAAAAAAUUUUUGAAUGCAUUAUUGCUUUGUAGAAAUUUUUAUAUGGAUAGUAUUUCACAUAAGAACUUAUAAAAAGAUAUUAUAAUAUUGAAUUUCAUUCGCCGAAAAUCAUAACUAUUCAAACAUUACGUUGUACGAAUCAACAUUUUGAAACAAAUUAAUUGAGGUCAUAUACAAAAUUCAAGUAUAGUAUUAUAUAUCAUCUUAAAAAUGACUGAUCAGAUCGGAUUUGUAACUUCAAAGUAGCCCUAAAGAAUAGAUGACUAAAAAACAAAUUAUGCCUUCGCACAUCAAAGUAUUUUAUAAAGCACGGGCAGAAAAAUAAAUUGUAAAUUCUUGGGGGAGCAAAAUAUUUUGAUAAUUUUUUCUUUAAUAUCUGAUUUUAUAUGACGAUGAAAAAUUGUUACUGCACUACCAGUUUACCGAACAAUAAGACAACUGGAACAAUUUAAUACAAUUCAUUUCGAUUGUAGACUAUUCGUCGAUUACGACAUUGCACUAUUAGUUUGAUUAUUCGGGGGCGAAAAAUAAUGGAUUGUUGUUGAAAAGUAUGAGAAAAAAAAUUAUAUAUGUAGUGAACCCAAUAAACCUUACGAGUCAUGAAAAGGAAACAAUCGACGCGACGACGUCAGUGAAGACUUUUGCAUUCGUCAAUUGCGUCUACGCGUGCGUUUUAGUUUAACUAAGCUAAAUGUGUUCUCUUCUUCUUUAAGAAAAAACAAACAUUGAAACAAGCCUUGUGAUCCACUGUCGGAACUAUAUUACAAAAAUAUUAAAAUAUAUUUCAACGCUCUCAUAACAAUAAUGUAGAAUGUAAAUUCUAUCAUUGAUUAAAAAAACGAUAUAAAUAGUGUACACAAUGUCGAAUAUAAAAUAUGUAAAAAAUAUGUAUAAAUGCUGUUAGUCGCUCUAAUGCGUUAAGCAAUAAUAAAUUAUUGUAAAUUA